rnacentral:tRNA from 1 species
GGGGUUGUGGCUCAGUGGAAGAGCACUCACCUAGGACAUGUGAGGCCCUGGGUUCGAUCCUCAGCACCACA